GAAUUUUUCACAAUGGACGCAAGUCUGAUGAAGCCACGCCGCGUGCGAGAUGAAGGCCCUCUGGGUUGUAAAUCGCUGUCGAGAAAGGGGAACCGCUGCAUGUGAAUAGCAUGCAGUCUGACUGCUUUCUGAAGGAAGCCCCGGCAAAACAUGUGCCAGCAGCCGCGGUAAUACAUGUGGGGCAAGCGUUGUUCGGAAUUACUGGGCAUAAAGGGUGCGUAGGUGGUUUGUUAAGUCAGGGGUGAAAUCCCACGGCCCAACCGUGGAACGGCCUUUGAUACUGGCGAACUGGAGUGCGUGAGGGGUAGGGGGAACGAGCAGUGUAGCGGUGAAAUGCGUAGAUAUUGCUCGGAAGGCCAGAGCCGAAGGGGCCCUACUGGUACGUAACUGACACUGAGGCACGAAAGCGUGGGGAGCAAACAGG
rnacentral:rRNA from 1 species